rnacentral:misc_RNA from 1 species
CACUCGGGAAGUAGUGUUCCGUUCGAUCUACAUAUUUUAAAAAAUUGCUUGACAAUCGGUAGCUAGUGUAAGACCUAUAUCAUUGGAAAUUUCGUGAAUUCCGUAACUCGGAAAUUUUUCCAUAAGCACUGGUCUUCCGUCUUGGAUUCGACGGCAGUUCGGCUUCGGCGACAGAAGCGGCGACAUCAGGAGCGACAUCAAGCAAAGCAGGUUCCUCAGAGCGACGAUGGAGAGAGAAAGAACGAUGACCAUUGCGCGAUGCAAGCAAAUCAGGACAUCAACGAGUCUCUCCAAAGAUCAACUCCUCUCCAUCCCGUUCCGGUAGAGAUGGAUCUGCAACACACGAGACGUAAAACUCCUUUUUUUGCGGAGGUAUGUUUCAUUUAAUUUAUUCCUUUCGAGAGUCCCUAGUACAAUCCAACGUUCAAAGUCUGAGUAUAUGAAUUGCAACCCCUUGGAAAAUAUUUUCAAAAUCCUCCUCAUAAAAUCAGAUCACCCAGCAUUACCCAAUAGACUCGGUAGAUUCAUACACCCCCAUAAUAAAAUUCAUCAGACAAGCCAAUAAGGCAAGACAAUAAUUUAUUAUCAUACAACUUGGUACAAUUUAUUAUAAUUCAAACGUCUUAUACUUAUAUGCUGAUCAUAAAAUAAGUCAUACAUUAGGUAAGUUAUGUAAUCAG